rnacentral:lncRNA from 1 species
AAGGAGAGGUGUGGAAGAGCUGCUGCUGCAGGACUGGAGUCUCUGAGUCAGGAUGGCCUACACGUUUGCUCAAGAGGAAGACGCAGGGUCUGCCUUGGAAAAGGUGAGACGCUUUGGUUUCUUCUCCGAGCCACGACCACUUUUCCAACCCUGACCCGAGCAGGGCAUCCUUACGUGACAGAAGGCAGAAGGGAAGGAGAUGGGGCCGCUCAGCUGGUUUCCCUUCUCGCAGCGCACCCCGAGCCGGGGCUGGCUGCGCCCCUUGAAUUCUGCGGCACGACAGACCUCGGAGCAUUUCUAGGGCAGAAGGAAGGAGCAUAAUCAGCUUAAUCUUGGAAUCGAAAGGUUGUUAUUAUAAUCAGUUCCCGCUGAAGAACAGUAAAUAAUUCCUGUGCACAAGGCCAGCUGAAGUCUCUAAUUAGCCGCUCCCUGGGCCGUGAAGCCGCGUCCCCCUCCCCUGGGGAGAGCUGUUUUGCCUGAUUUUGUUUGUUUUGUUUCACCCUCUCUCCGCUCCCUCGGCAUGCUGAGAAAGCACCCCAA